rnacentral:rRNA from 1 species
UACGGAGAGUGCAAACGUUGUUCGGAUUCACUGGGCGUAAAGGGCACGUAGGCGGCUCGGCAAAUCGGUCGUGGAAUCUCGACGCUUACCGUCGAAACGGCGGCCGAAAAUACCGGGCUCGAGGGCGUGAGGGGUCACUGGAACUCCUGGUGAAGCGGUGAAAUGCGUAGAUAUCAGGAGGAACGCCGGAGGCGAAAGCGAGUGACUGGCGCGUUCCUGACGCUGAGGAGCGAAAGCGUGGGGAGCAAACAGG